UACAGAGGGUGCAAGCGUUGUUCGGAAUUAUUGGGCGUAAAGCGCGUGUAGGCGGCUUGGCAAGUCGGGUGUGAAAUCCCUCAGCUUAACUGAGGAAGUGCGCCCGAAACUGCCGAGCUUGAGUACCGGAGAGGGUGGCGGGAUUCCCCAAGUAGAGGUGAAAUUCGUAGAUAUGGGGAGGAACACCGGUGGCGAAGGCGGCCACCUGGACGGAUACUGACGCUGAGACGCGAAAGCGUGGGGAGCAAACAGG
rnacentral:rRNA from 1 species